rnacentral:rRNA from 1 species
CAAUAGCGUAUAUUAAAGUUGUUGCAGUUAAAAAGCUCGUAGUUGAACCUUGGGCCUGGCUGGCCGGUCUGCCUCACCGCAUGCACUGGUCCGGCCGGGCCUUUCCCUCUGGGGAUCCGCAUGCCCUUCACUGGGUGUGUCGGGGAACCAGGACUUUUACUGUGAAAAAAUUAGAGUGUUCAAAGCAGGCCUAUGCUCGAAUACAUUAGCAUGGAAUAAUAGAAUAGGACGUUGCGGUUCUAUUUUGUUGGUUUCUAGGACCGCCGUAAUGAUUAAUAGGGACAGUUGGGGCCGUUUAUAUUCCGUAGUCAGAGGUGAAAUUCUUGGAUUUACGGAAGAUAAACUACUGCGAANGNAUUCGUNAAGGAUGUUUNCGUUA